rnacentral:lncRNA from 1 species
UGGUGGCAUUGGUGAUGAUCAGUCUCGAUUGCCUCUUGAACUAAGCAAUAUUGCAAUCCCCAGAUGAGAAGAAGCAAUAGUAGAUCUCAACAGACCUUAGCAGAGAUCUAUUGGUGGAGGAAGAAUUGACAAGUUUAUGCUACGACUACAGAUCUGUGAGAGAUCUGCAGUUCUUAUCGUAGAUCGGUGAGAGAACUGUAGUUUGUGUCAUAGAUCUAUGUUGCGGCUGCAACUUCUGUGAGUCACAAGGAGGGAGAGUGCUAGGGUGCGAUGGGGCGAAGAGCAUGACGUGGCUGGAGAGGCAGGGCGACGUUUCUUCCUCCUUUCCGCUUCUCUGUUCCAUGGCGACGAGGGCAUGAUAGCACUGUAAGUAGUAGUGUAUUGUAAGUUCACAAGCUCACUAUGAACAGCGGCAUCUUCGAGUGAGAAAUCGACCACAGUAAGGAGAAGUUAUGCUUUUGCAGGAACGACGAUGGGAUGUUAGGGGUAGAUGAGCGAUUGGAGUAGAAGACGGAGGCGCCGCAAAAGCAAUUAAGGUUCUUCGUCGGGAGGUGGCAGGACUCGAUGAGGAGCGAUUGCUAUCGUCGGAUAGCGAGAA